rnacentral:rRNA from 1 species
AUUGAACGCUGGCGGCAGGCCUAACACAUGCAAGUCGAACGGUAACAGGAAACAGCUUGCUGUUUCGCUGACGAGUGGCGGACGGGUGAGUAAUGUCUGGGAAACUGCCUGAUGGAGGGGGAUAACUACUGGAAACGGUAGCUAAUACCGCAUAACGUCGCAAGACCAAAGAGGGGGACCUUCGGGCCUCUUGCCAUCGGAUGUGCCAAGAUGGGAUUAGCUAGUAGGUGGGGUAACGGCUCACCUAGGCGACGAUCCCUAGCUGGUCUGAGAGGAUGACCAGCCACACUGGAACUGAGACACGGUCCAGACUCCUACGGGAGGCAGCAGUGGGGAAUAUUGCACAAUGGGCGCAAGCCUGAUGCAGCCAUGCCGCGUGUAUGAAGAAGGCCUUCGGGUUGUAAAGUACUUUCAGCGGGGAGGAAGGGAGUAAAGUUAAUACCUUUGCUCAUUGACGUUACCCGCAGAAGAAGCACCGGCUAACUCCGUGCCAGCCGCCGCAGUAAAAC